rnacentral:rRNA from 1 species
AUUGAACGCUGGCGGCAGGCCUAACACAUGCAAGUCGAACGGUAACAGGAAGAAGCUUGCUUCUUUGCUGACGAGUGGCGGACGGGUGAGUAAUGUCUGGGAAACUGCCUGAUGGAGGGGGAUAACUACUGGAAACGGUAGCUAAUACCGCAUAACGUCGCAAGACCAAAGAGGGGGACCUUCGGGCCUCUUGCCAUCGGAUGUGCCCAGAUGGGAUUAGCUAGUAGGUGGGGUAACGGCUCACCUAGGCGACGAUCCCUAGUUGGUCUGAGAGGAUGACCAGCCACACUGGAACUGAGACACGGUCCAGACUCCUACGGGAGGCAGCAGUGGGGAAUAUUGCACAGUGGGCGCAAGCCUGAUGCAGCCAUGCCGCGUGUAUGAAGAAGGCCUUCGGGUUGUAAAGUACUUUCAGCGGGGAGGAAGGGAGUAAAGUUAAUACCUUUGCUCAUUGACGUUACCCGCAGAAGAAGCACCGGCUAACUACGUG